rnacentral:rRNA from 1 species
GGGGUUUGAUCCUGGCUCAGAAUGAACGUUGGCGGCGUGGAUUAGGCAUGCAAGUCGAGCGAGAACCGUAGCAAUACGGGGACAGCGGCGAAAGGGACAGUAAUGUGUAGGUACCUACCUCCGGGUUCGGGAUAGCUGCGGGAAACUGCAGGUAAUACCGAAUAACGUCUCCGGACCAAAGGUGUGAUUCCACCUGGAGAGGGGCCUGCAUCCUAUUAGCUUGUUGGCGGGGCAACGGCCCACCAAGGCGACGAUGGGUAGCGGGUGUGAGAGCACGACCCGCGUCAUUGGGACUGAGACACUGCCCAGACACCUACGGGUGGCUGCAGUCGAGGAUCUUCGGCAAUGGGCGAAAGCCUGACGCAGCGACGCCGCGUGAGGGAUGAAGGCCUUCGGGUUGUAAACCGCUGUCGUAGAGGAGGAAAUGCAGGGGGGUUCUCCCCUCUGUUUGACCUAUUCUAGGAGGAAGGACGGGCUAAGUUCGUGCCAGCAGCCGCGGUAAGACGAACCGUCCAAACGUUACUCGGAAUUACUGGGCUUAAAGGGUGCGUAGGCUGCGCGGAAAGUCGGGUGUGAAAGCCCUCAGCUCAACUGGGGAAUUGCAUUCGAAACUGCCGUGCUCGAGGGAGACAGAGGUAAGCGGAACUCAAGGUGGAGCGGUGAAAUGCGUUGAUAUCUUGAGGAACACCGGUGGCGAAAGCGGCUUACUGGGUCUCUUCUGACGCUGAGGCACGAAAGCCAAGGUAGCAAACGGGAUUAGAUACCCCGGUAGUCUUGGCUGUAAACGAUGAGCACUUGUUUGAAGGGUCCUCCAUAGCCUUUCAGACGUAGCGAAAGUGUUAAGUGCUCCGCCUGGGGAGUAUGGUCGCUGUCGCUGUCGCUGUCGCUGUCUCUGUCUCUGUCUCUGUCUUUGUCUCUGUCUCCGUCUCUGUCUCUGUCUGUGUCUCUGUCUCUGUCUCUGUCUCUGUCUCUGUCGCUGUCGCUGUCGCUGUAGAUCGGAAGAGCGUCGUGU